GAAACUGAAAACCAGCUUGGGCAAUGAAAACAAACUAAAAGCACCUUUGGCACCAAGCGUGACGUCAGCGCAUCCGCCGACAUCUUGACACAUCGUCAUUGUGCAUGUGCGCCGAUGAUGUCAUAGCACCUGCCCAUCUUCGGCCUUUUGUGACUAGCGGCACCCAGGGACCAGCGCCUCUGGAGGUGUGUUUGACAUCACAUCCCUUCGAGGGUAAAACGCUAAAAGUGAACAUGUAAUGUCUACUGAUUCCUUCCAUCCAUCUGCUGCUGCCUGCAAACAAAAAUCAAAAUGCAAGGAGUCAUUUAUCAAAUAAGUGUGACUCUUCUCCUCGCAGUCCAGCAGGCAUGGAGUCGGCUCUACGUCACUUCAGAAAUCAAAUGCAUUCGACCAGGGGAAAUAAAAGUGUCAAAAGGAGGUGUUCCCUGCAUAGCUCAACAUCUAGCCUAUAACUGCAGCUUUCCUUAUCAGGGCAACAAUGGCUAUCAAUUUGAACUACAACAUCUAGCACUGCAAAAAAAAACAAAAACAAAUCAGAAUGAUGCUGAGAGUUGUAGUUGAGAAUUCAGUUAUCAAGGAAAUGAGUCAGCAUGAAGGCACUUGUGUGUGCCUAAUUACAAUGCUUCCAAUAAUCACCUGUUUUAUAAUCAUUAGUGAUGGGCGAAUCUGUCCCAUUUCGCUUUGAGAAAUUCACGAAACUCCAGAAAAAAACACAAAACAAAAAAAAAUUGCAAAAUGCAUUGAAAAUUCUGACACCUGAUAAUUUUUGACAAGAGCAAAAAUUUUCAUACGCGCAACUCUUUUGUCCAAAUGCAUUAAAAGUCAAUGGCAUCCGAAUAAUUCUGACGUGGGACAAUUUUGAUGAGCGACAGUUUUUGCAUGCGCGUCUCUUUUGACCAGAUGCAUUGAAGUCAAUGGGGUUCAAAUAAUUUUGACGUUUGACAAUUUUGACAAGCAACAAUGUUUACACGUGCGACUCUUUUGACCAGAUGCAUUGAAGUCAAUGGGCUUCCGAAUAAUUUUGACGUGCAACAAUUAUUUUGUUGCAGCGAAUUUUCCCACACCCAAUUUUCAUGGCAGUUUCUCGAAAACAUUUGCUGUCGGUGGAAUCCGCAAAUUUGCCACUAUUCUGUGCCUGGCGAAUAAAUUCGCCCUUCACUAAUAAUCAUAUUUCACUCAUCUACUCCAUAACGCCUGCAGGUGGAAUAGCCCUUAGGGCCCUUUGGAGCAAUGAUACAUGAGUGUUUUUUCAUCAGCAUUAAAUAAACAUGCCUGAAAUGC